UGGUCCUUCGUCUAGUGGCAAGACAGCGGCUUCCAAACCCGCUUACCGGGGUUCGAUUCCUCGAGGAUCAG
rnacentral:tRNA from 1 species